rnacentral:rRNA from 1 species
GUGGGGAAUCUUGCGCAAUGGGCGAAGGCCUGACGCAGCCAUGCCGCGUGAAUGAUGAAGGUCUUAGGAUUGUAAAAUUCUUUCACCGGGGACGAUAAUGACGGUACCCGGAGAAGAAGCCCCGGCUAACUUCGUGCCAGCAGCCGCGGUAAUACGAAGGGGGCUAGCGUUGCUCGGAAUUACUGGGCGUAAAGGGCGCGUAGGCGGACAGUUUAGUCAGAGGUGAAAGCCCAGGGCUCAACCUUGGAAUUGCCUUUGAUACUGGCUGUCUUGAGUACGGGAGAGGUGAGUGGAACUCCGAGUGUAGAGGUGAAAUUCGUAGAUAUUCGGAAGAACACCAGUGGCGAAGGCGACUCACUGGCCCGUUACUGACGCUGAGGCGCGAAAGCGUGGGGAGCAAACAGGAUUAGAUACCCCGGUAGUCC